AAAUCCUCCUCAUCAAUAACAUGACUUUGAUCUGCGUCCUCAUCUGGACUCUCCUCUGCUUCACUCAGGGGUCUGUUGGACAGAAUGUUGUUGUGACUCAGUCAGCAGCCAAAUCAGUGCAGCUCGGACAAACUGUCACUAUUGACUGUAAGUUCAAUCCAACAGUACCUCACUACUCUGGAUCACAGUACUACCUGGCCUGGUACCAUCAGAAACCUGGAGAAACUCCUAAAGCUCUGAUCUACAUGACAUCUGAAAGAUUUUCAGGAAUCUCCUCCAGAUUCAGUGGAAGUGGAGCAGGGAAUGGAGUUGACUUCACUCUGACUAUCAGUGGAGUUCAGGCUGAAGAUGCAGGAGUUUAUUACUGUCAGAGUUAUCACAGUGGAGAUGUGUUCACACAGUGA